rnacentral:rRNA from 1 species
AGCUCCAAUAGCGUAUAUUAAAGUUGUUGCAGUUAAAAAGCUCGUAGUUGGAUUUCUGGUGUCUUUUUGCGUUUCCUUCUUUGCCAGCGAAAUGCUGGUGUUGGUCGCAAUGGAUGCCUUCUUUCUCCGCUAAUUUGUCGCUGAAUCAUUAAUUUGGCUCGGUGAUGAAUGGGGAUCAUUUACUGUGAAAAAAUUAGAGUGUUCAAAGCAAGUAUUAUUUCUUGAAUACAUUAGCAUGGAAUAAUAAGAUAGGACUUGGGUAAUAUUUUGUUGGUUUGCAUAUCCGGGUAAUGAUUAAUAGGAACAUAUUGGGGAUAUCUGUAUUUUUUAGUCAGAGGUGAAAUUCUUGGAUUUAAGAAAGACAAACUACAGCGAAAGCAUUUAUCAAGGAUGUUUUCAU